AGUGACCAUGGACUUGAUCCUCAACUUUUCCCUAGAAACCUGGGUCCUCCUGGCUACCAGCCUGGUGCUCCUCUAUCUAUAUGGGACCUAUCCACAUAGGGUUUUUAAGAAGUUGGGAAUUCCUGGCCCGAAACCUCUGCCCUUUUUUGGAACUGUUCUUGGUUAUCGUAAGGGUGUUAUGGUUUUUGAUGUGGAAUGUUAUAAAAAAUAUGGAAAACUCUGGGGGU